UACAAGAUCUUCUUGCGUGGGUGACCACCUGAAAGAGAAGGGAAAUUCGACCACGGAUACCCAUUAGCAUUGAUGCCAGUUACUGUGAGUAUUACUUGAGAGU
rnacentral:lncRNA from 1 species